AUUUAAUGAGGCACGAUGGAGCUGACUACUAUCUGAUGGACAGCUUUAUUUCAGCGUUAACUAUGGUCUGAAGCCUAAACUUUGUGACCAAUGCAUAUCCCAAGCAGCUAGGCUGGUCCCCAGGGAGUGAUUCUGGGACCGAGUGGAAAAAAUCCUUUCCCCCCAUGCCACACUGUGGCAGUAGAGCUGCUCAGCUGCCUCGUUGCUACUUUUGCUGACAUCAUGUGGGAGGGAAUGCCAUUGGAUUCAUCGCUAUUAAGACUGGAUAGAUACAGAUAUGAAUACCUAAUAGCUUUCUUUGACAAGGUAACAAGACUUGUGGACAGAGGGGAAGCGGAGAAUAAACCAUCUCUCAUUCAGACCAGUCCAGAAG